AGUGAACGCUGGCGGUAGGCCUAACACAUGCAAGUCGAACGGCAGCACAGUAAGAGCUUGCUCUUACGGGUGGCGAGUGGCGGACGGGUGAGGAAUACAUCGGAAUCUACUUUUUCGUGGGGGAUAACGUAGGGAAACUUACGCUAAUACCGCAUACGACCUACGGGUGAAAGCAGGGGAUCUUCGGACCUUGCGCGUUUGAAUGAGCCGAUGUCGGAUUAGCUAGUUGGCGGGGUAAAGGCCCACCAAGGCGACGAUCCGUAGCUGGUCUGAGAGGAUGAUCAGCGACACUGGAACUGAGACACGGUCCAGACUCCUACGGGAGGCAGCAGUGGGGAAUAUUGGACAAUGGGCGCAAGCCUGAUCCAGCCAUACCGCGUGGGUGAAGAAGGCCUUCGGGUUGUAAAGCCCUUUUGUUGGGAAAGAAAAGCAGCAGGUUAAUACCCCGCUGUUCUGACGGUACCCAAAGAAUAAGCACCGGCUAACUUCGU
rnacentral:rRNA from 1 species